rnacentral:rRNA from 1 species
CACGUAGUUAGCCGGUGCUUAUUCUUCAGGUACCGUCAUUAGCGAAGGAUAUUAGCCUCCACCGUUUCUUCCCUGACAAAAGAGCUUUACAACCCGAAGGCCUUCUUCACUCACGCGGCAUUGCUGGAUCAGGCUUUCGCCCAUUGUCCAAAAUUCCCCACUGCUGCCUCCCGUAGGAGUCUGGACCGUGUCUCAGUUCCAGUGUGGCUGGUCGUCCUCUCAGACCAGCUACUGAUCGUGGCCUUGGUGAGCCUUUACCUCACCAACUAGCUAAUCAGAUAUCGGCCGCUCCAGGAGCACAAGGUCCGAAGAUCCCCUGCUUUCAUCCUUAGAUCGUAUGCGGUAUUAGCGUAACUUUCGCUACGUUAUCCCCCACUCUUGGGUACGUUCCGAUAUAUUACUCACCCGUUCGCCACUCGCCGCCAGGUUGCCCCGCGCUGCCGUUCGACUUGCAUGUGUAAAGCAUGCCGCCAGCGUUCAAUCUGAGCCAGGAUCAAA